UCGGACGCUUAACUGACUGAGCCACCCAGGCGCCCCCCAACCACCCAGGUGCCUCCCCAAAUCACCUUUAAAUAGAAACACCCUCCAAUGCAUUUGAAAUGAUUUUUUUAAAUAUCAUGGGGGUAACAGUGAAGUCAAUUCAGGUAUACCUGUAUUAUGGAAUACUGCAUUGCAAUGAAAAAGGAGUGAACUCUAUCUCUAUGUUCACCUAUGAAAAGAUGGCCAUGAUGUGUUGUUGGGUCUAAAAAAAAAAAAAAAAAAAAAAAAAAAACAGGCAAGCUUCAGAGUCU